rnacentral:lncRNA from 1 species
UUUUUCCGUGGUUUGGCUUGGAUAUUGGAGGAACCCUGGUCAAGCUGGUUUAUUUUGAACCUAAAGACAUCACUGCUGAAGAAGAAAAGGAGGAAGUGGAGAGUCUGAAAAGCAUUCGGAAGUACCUGACCUCCAAUGUGGCUUAUGGGUCGACAGGAAUUCGGGACGUGCACCUUGAGCUGAAGGACCUGACUCUGUGUGGACGCAAAGUCUUGGAGGAGGAACUUUCUUUGGUCUCUGCUGUCUUCUUACCGGCUGUAGUACUUUUGAAGAAGCUCUUGAGAUGGCGUCUCGUGGAGAUAGCACCAAAGUGGACAAAUUAGUUCGAGACAUUUAUGGAGGAGACUAUGAGAGAUUUGGAUUGCCAGGCUGGGCUGUGGCUUCAAGUUUUGGAAACAUGAUGAGCAAGGAGAAGAGAGAGGCUGCUAGCAAGGAAGACCUUGCCAGAGCAACUUUGAUCACCAUCACCAACAACAUUGGCUCCAUAGCAAGAAUGUGUGCUCUUAAUGAA